UAUAUUUAAGUGUAUGAGGCACGUAAGUUUUUGAUACUUAAAGGGAUGGUUUAAUUCCAUUAAAUGUAG
rnacentral:tRNA from 1 species